ensembl:lncRNA
GAGAAGAGAAGGAGAGAGGGAAAGAGAAAAAGAGAGAAAGAAAGGAAGGAAAGGAAAGGAAGAAAGGAAAGGGAGGGAGGGAGGAAGGAAGGAAGGAAAGAAGAAAGGAACGAAGGAAGGAUGAAGGGACUGUGUUUUUGACACAGCUAGUCUGUACUAGUGUAGUGUGUACUGUGGUUAAUUUUUAUUUUUUAUUUUUUUUAUUUUUUUCAGGCAGAUUACCAGAUGUCUCAAGAUACAACAAAACAUUUAAAAAUGAUGAACCUAGAGAAAGCAAGACCAGGCUUCGGGAAUCUCCAGAGAACAAGGGGAAGGUCAAGCAAGGAGCACUUACCCUUGGUGGAAGAGGGCCAAGUCCAGGAAUACUUAAACAAGCUGGACCAUGGGCCAUGGGCCUUAAUGGGAUGCACCCACUCUCAAUAAUAUUUCAAGAAUCACAGUAAUUGAAUGAAGCACUCAAUGACUUGAGGAGAUCAAAUGUCACUUCCAUCUCCAAAAAGAGCAAGAACAACAAUCCAGGAAACUGUAUAACAGUCAACCUGACCUUAACUCCUGGGAAGUGAUGGAACAACUGAUCUUGACACAUGAAGGACAAGAAAAUCAUCAGUAAUAGUCACCAUGGCUCCACCGAGGGGAUGUCAGUUUUGAC